rnacentral:rRNA from 1 species
ACGCUCGACACCUACGAGGCAGCAGUGGGGAAUAUUGGGCAAUGGGCGCAAGCCUGACCCAGCAACGCCGCGUGAAGGAAGAAGGCUUUCGGGUUGUAAACUUCUUUUCUUGAGGACGAAGAAGUGACGGUACUCAAGGAAUAAGCUCCGGCUAACUACGUGCCGAGCNCGCCGAGUAUCUGAGGCGGNGNGAGAG